rnacentral:rRNA from 1 species
AUACGUAGGGUGCGAGCGUUAAUCGGAAUUACUGGGCGUAAAGCGUGCGCAGGCGGCUUUAUAAGCCAGAUGUGAAAUCCCCGGGCUCAACCUGGGAACUGCAUUUGGAACUGUAAGGCUAGAGUACGGCAGAGGGGGGUAGAAUUCCACGUGUAGAAGUGAAAUGCGUAGAUAUGUGGAGGAAUACCGAUGGCGAAGGCAGCCCCCUGGGUCGAUACUGCCGCUCAUGCACGAAAGCGUGGGGAGCAAACAGGAUUAGAAACCCUAGUAGUCC